UACGUAGGGUGCAAGCGUUAAUCGGAAUUACUGGGCGUAAAGGGUGCGCAGGCGGAUAUAUAAGUUAGAUGUGAAAUCCCCGGGCUUAACCUGGGAAUGGCAUUUAAGACUGUAUGUCUAGAGUUUGUCAGAGGGGGGUAGAAUUCCAAGUGUAGCAGUGAAAUGCGUAGAUAUUUGGAGGAAUACCAAUGGCGUAGGCAACCCCCUGGGAUAAAACUGACGCUCAGGCACGAAAGCGUGGGUAGCAAACAGG
rnacentral:rRNA from 1 species